rnacentral:rRNA from 1 species
GAGUCGGACCUGCCCAGUGAGCAUAUUUAACGGCCGCGGUACUCUGACCGUGCAAAGGUAGCAUAAUCAUUUGCCCUAUAAUUGAGGGCUAGUAUGAAUGGUUUGACGUGAAUAAAGCUGUCUCUAUAUAAUUUUUUAGAACUUGAUUUCUAGGUGAGGAAACCUAGAUAUUAUUGAAAGACAAGAAGACCCUAUUGAGCUUUAAAAGAAUAAAUUGGGAACAAUAUAUAAUCUUAAAUGUUAAUCUAUUUUAGGAUUUUGGUUGGGGCGACUAUGGAACAAAUAAAGCUUCUUUAUAAUUAAUAAAACUGACAAGUGUUGAUCCAGAAAUUUUGAUCAAUGGAAAUAGUUACCAUAGGGAUAACAGCAUAAUUCUCUUUGAGAGCCCUCAUCGAAAAGAGAGUUUGUGACCUCGAUGUUGGACUAGAAUAUCCUAAAGAUGCAGCAGUCUUUAAGGGUUGGUC